rnacentral:SRP_RNA from 1 species
GCUGGGAGUUGUGGCGUGCUCCUGUAAUCCAGCUACUCGGAAGCUUGGUUGGUUGGUUGGCCGGUUUGAGGAUGGGAGUCCUGGUAGUCGGUCUUCUAUGGCGAUCGGGUGUCCGCGCUAAGCUCGGCAUCAAUAUGGUGCUGGAGAGGGAGCUCAUCAGGACCAGGUUGUCUAAGGAGGGUCGCUUCGGUCCAGGGCGGAAACGCAGCAGGCAAAAGACUCCGUGCCGAGCAGUAGUGGGAUCUCGCCUGUGAAUGAAAUAAAGUCUAUGUGUGUGAAAGAGAAAAAGAGAGAGAGUUAUU